rnacentral:rRNA from 1 species
GAAACUGAGGAUAAUGGUUCAUAAUUGAAUAGGCUUGGAAAAGUUUUUCAAUGAAAGGGAUAAGAAAAAUGGUUCUUAUUUGCUAUAGGAUAGGAUCGUGGUCGAUUAUGGUUGUUGGUGAGGUAAUGGCUCACCAAGCCGAUAAUCGAUAGGGGCCGUGAGAGCGGGAGCCCCGAGAUGGGUACUGAGACAACGACCCAGGUUCUACGGAACGCAGCAGGCGCGGAACCUCAGCAAUACACGAAAGUGUGACUGGGUUACCCAAAGUGUUCAUAUUUGAACUGUGGUAGGUGAGUAAUGUUCCCUACUAGAAAGGAGAGGGAAAGGCUGGUGCCAGCCGCCGCGGUAAAACCAGCUCUUCAAGUGGUCGGGAUAAUUAUUGGGCUUAAAGUGUCCGUAGCCGGUUUAGUAAGUUCCUGGUAAAAUUAUGUAGCUUAACUAUCUGUAUGCUAGGGAUACUGCUAAUCUAGAGGGCGGGAGAGGUCUGAGGUACUACAGGGGUAGGGGUGAAAUCUUAUAAUCCUUGUAGGACCACCAGUGGCGAAGGCGUCAGACUGGAACGCGCCUGACGGUGAGGGACGAAAGCCAGGGGAGCGAACCGGAUUAGAUACCCGGGUAGUCCUGGCCGUAAACGAUGCAUACUAGGUGAUGGCACGGCCAUGAGCCGUGU